ACGGGUGAGUAACACGUGGGCAACCUGCCCUUGAGACUGGGAUAACUUCGGGAAACCGGAGCUAAUACCGGAUAAUACAAGGAACCUCCUGGUUCCUUGUUGAAAGAUGGUUUCGGCUAUCACUUAAGGAUGGGCCCGCGGCGCAUUAGCUAGUUGGUGAGGUAACGGCUCACCAAGGCGACGAUGCGUAGCCGACCUGAGAGGGUGAUCGGCCACACUGGGACUGAGACACGGCCCAGACUCCUACGGGAGGCAGCAGUAGGGAAUCUUCCACAAUGGACGAAAGUCUGAUGGAGCAACGCCGCGUGAGUGAUGAAGGCCUUCGGGUCGUAAAGCUCUGUUGUUAGGGAAGAACAAGUGCGAGAGUAACUGCUCGCACCUUGACGGUACCUAACCAGAAAGCCACGGCUAACUACGUGCCAGCAGCCGCGGUAAUACGUAGGUGGCAAGCGUUAUCCGGAAUUAUUGGGCGUAAAGCGCGCGCAGGUGGUUUCUUAAGUCUGAUGUGAAAGCCCACGGCUCAACCGUGGAGGGUCAUUGGAAACUGGGGAACUUGAGUGCAGAAGAGGAAAGUGGAAUUCCA
rnacentral:rRNA from 1 species